rnacentral:rRNA from 1 species
GGGGAAUUUUCCGCAAUGGGCGAAAGCCUGACGGAGCAAUACCGCGUGAGGGAGGAAUGCCUUUGGGUUGUAAACCUCUUUUCUCAGGGAAGAAGAUCUGACGGUACCUGAGGAAUAAGUAUCGGCUAACUCCGUGCCAGCAGCCGCGGUAAUACGGAGGAUGCAAGCGUCAUCCGGAAUCAUUGGGCGUAAAGCGUCCGCAGGUGGUUUCCAAAGUCUGCUGUUAAAGACUGGAGCUCAACUCCGGAACGGCGGUGGAAACUUGGAAACUAGAGUUCGGUAGGGGUAGCAGGAAUUCCCAGUGUAGCGGUGAAAUGCGUAGAUAUUGGGAAGAACAUCGGUGGCGAAGGCGUGCUACUGGACCGUAACUGACACUCAGGGACGAAAGCUAGGGGAGCGAAAGGGAUUAGAUACCCCUGUAGUCCUAGCUGUAAACGAUGGAAACUAGGUGUGGCUUG